GAUGAACGCUGGCGGCGUGCUUAAUACAUGCAAGUCGAACGAAGACAGUGGCAAUAUUGUCUGAGUGGCGAACGGGUGAGUAACGCGUUGGUGACCUGCCCCGAAGAGAGGGAUAACAGUCCGAAAGGAUUGCUAAUACCCCAUGUGGUCGUUUGGAUUAGAUGCCUUAUGACUAAACGGAUUUAUUCGCUUCGGGAGGGGCCUGCGUCCCAUCAGCUAGUUGGUAGGGUAAUGGCCUACCAAGGCGAUGACGGGUAGGGGACCUGAGAGGGUGGCCCCCCACAAUGGAACUGAAACACGGUCCAUACACCUACGGGUGGCAGCAGUAGGGAAUAUUGGUUAAUCUGGGAAACCGGGAACCAGCAACGCCGCGUGCACGAUGAAGGCCUUCGGGUUGUAAAGUGCUUUUUGAAAGGAUGAGGAAGGACAGUACUUUCAGAAUAAGCUUCGGCUAACUACGUGCCAGCAGCCGCAGUAAUAC
rnacentral:rRNA from 1 species